AACGAACGCUGGCGGCAUGCCUAACACAUGCAAGUCGAACGAGACCUUCGGGUCUAGUGGCGCACGGGUGCGUAACGCGUGGGAACCUGCCCUUAGGUUCGGAAUAACUCCCCGAAAGGGGUGCUAAUACCGGAUAAUGUCUUCGGACCAAAGAUUUAUCGCCUUUGGAUGGGCCCGCGUUGGAUUAGCUAGUUGGUAGGGUAAAAGCCUACCAAGGCGACGAUCCAUAACUGGUCUGAGAGGAUGAUCAGCCACACUGGGCCUGAGACACGGUCCAGACUCUUACGGAAAGAAGCAAUGGGGAAUAUUGGAAACUGGGCGAAGAGAUGAUCCACCAAUGGCGGGUGAAUGCUGAAAGCCUUAGGGAUGUAAAGCUCAUUUACCCGGGAUAAUAAUGACAGUACCGGGAGAAUAAGCACCGGCUAGCUCCGUG
rnacentral:rRNA from 1 species